rnacentral:rRNA from 1 species
CCUACGGGUUGCAGCAGUGGGGAAUAUUGCACAAUGGGCGCAAGCCUGAUGCAGCCAUGCCGCGUGUAUGAAGAAGGCCUUCGGGUUGUAAAGUACUUUCAGCGGGGAGGAUGGGAGUAAAGUUAAUACCUUUGCUCGUUGACGUUACCCGCAGAAGAAGCACCGGCUAACUCCGUGCCAGCAGCCGCGGUAAUACGGAGGGUGCAAGCGUUAAUCGGAAUUACUGGGCGUAAAGCGCACGCAGGCGGUUUGUUAAGUCAGAUGUGAAAUCCCCGGGCUCAACCUGGGAACUGCAUCUGAUACUGGCAAGCUUGAGUCUCGUAGAGGGGGGUAGAAUUCCAGGUGUAGCGGUGAAAUGCGUAGAGAUCUGGAGGAAUACCGGUGGCGAAGGCGGCCCCCUGGACGAAGACUGACGCUCAGGUGCGAAAGCGUGGGGAGCAAACAGGAUUAGAUACCCGCGUAGUC